rnacentral:rRNA from 1 species
UGGUUCUCCCCGAAAGCUAUUUAGGUAGCGCCUCGUGAAUUCAUCUCCGGGGGUAGAGCACUGUUUCGGCUAGGGGGCCAUCCCGGCUUACCAACCCGAUGCAAACUGCGAAUACCGGAGAAUGUUAUCACGGGAGACACACGGCGGGUGCUAACGUCCGUCGUGAAGAGGGAAACAACCCAGACCGCCAGCUAAGGUCCCAAAGUCAUGGUUAAGUGGGAAACGAUGUGGGAAGGCCCAGACAGCCAGGAUGUUGGCUUAGAAGCAGCCAUCAUUUAAAGAAAGCGUAAUAGCUCACUGGUCGAGUCGGCCUGCGCGGAAGAUGUAACGGGGCUAAACCAUGCACCGAAGCUGCGGCAGCGAACGUAUCACCCAAGACAACUUUACGGAGUUGACGAUUGACGGAGCGAAGCGACGUCAAAGCGUUCAUUAAAGUCGAGUUGGCUUAGGGAUACGUUCGUUGGGUAGGGGAGCGUUCUGUAAGCCUGUGAAGGUGUGUCGUGAGGCAUGCUGGAGGUAUCAGAAGUGCGAAUGCUGACAUAAGUAACGAUAAAGCGGGUGAAAAGCCCGCUCGCCGGAAGACCAAGGGUUCCUGUCCAACGUUAAUCGGGGCAGGGUGAGUCGACCCCUAAGGCGAGGCCGAAAGGCGUAGUCGAUGGGAAACGGGUUAAUAUUCCCGUACUUGGUGUUACUGCGAAGGGGGGACGGAGAAGGCUAUGUUGGCCGGGCGACGGUUGUCCCGGUUUAAGCGUGUAGGUGUGUGUUCCAGGUAAAUCCGGUUCACUUUAACACUGAGGCGUGACGACGAGG